rnacentral:rRNA from 1 species
UACGUAGGGAGCAAGCGUUGUCCGGAAUCAUUGGGCGUAAAGCGCGCGUAGGCGGCCUCAUAAGUCCGUUGUGAAAGUCAAAGGCUCAACCUUUGAAAGCCGAUGGAUACUGUGAGGCUGGAGUCCGGAAGAGGCGAGUGGAAUUCCCGGUGUAGCGGUGAAAUGCGCAGAUAUCGGGAAGAACACCCGUGGCGAAGGCGGUUCUCUGGGACGGUACUGACGCUGAGGUGCGAAAGCGUGGGGAGCAAACAGG